rnacentral:lncRNA from 1 species
GAUGAAAUCUCAUCAUCAGCGGGUUGGUGAUCAGUGAGUGGUGGACGGUGCUAAUUAUGAUUGGUUUGCAUGCGUGGGUAUCGUUAGGUCUUCUGCCAUUCCCGCGAAGCCCCGUUUAUUAUCUGCACUGCAGAGUUGGGAGUUCAGAAUAACAGAUGUGCGUGUGUGUCGCUGUGUCAGGCGAGUGUGAGGGUGUGUUGGUGUGUUGCUUUAUCAAGAUUUUGUAAUUUCAGUGUGUGUUUUGUAUAAGAAGUUAUUAUGAAUCAAGUAAUUUAACCAAGUCGAUUUGUCAGCCGAACAACUGCAGCUGUUCGAGACGAUUGGCAUGAUAAAGAUAGUGUGAUUUUACUUCAACUCAAUUUUCAGAUCCGUGAACUGAAACUGAAGUGAAAUUCAGGCGUGUGCAAUGCAUUCAUACUGCUGGUCAUAGUUUUUUCUCUUACGAUGAACAAGUCGAUUUAUGAACAUUUUUUCUAGAUAAGUGAGGCUUUUAAAAAAUGUUCAUCAUGUGUUCAAAACAAUGAUAACCGUAAAUUUAAAGCAAAAUUGUUCGCCGUGUAUCUUAAAAAUGUUCAUCGUGAAUUUAAAAGGUUUGCCACUAAUUUUAAAAAGUUCAUCAUGUAUUUAUAUCACUAAUUUAGUUAUCUAAACGCUCUUAUAUUAGUUUACAGAGGGAGUAUUUAAAAGUUGUCAUCACGUAAUUAAAAAAAGGUUAAUUGUGCAUUAAUGAAAAUUUUCACCAUGUUUCAGAAAUGUUCAUCAUGUAUUAAUAAACUUAACCAUGUAUUUUUAAAAGUAAAAAAAUGCUCAUUGUGUAUUUAAAACAUAUAAAGAUAUUUUUUUGUAAAUGAACUAAAAAUAUUCAUUGUGUAUUAAAAAAAUAUUCACCAUGAAUUGUUCAAAAAAAUCACCUUGUAUUAUUCAAAAACGCUCAGACACAAAGGACAAACGUUCAUACACGGUGUGGGGAAAAGGAGAAAAUGCAUAGAGUAAAAGAACAACAAAAGAGGAAAAAUGGACAAUGAAAAAAAAGGAAAGAAUGAAGAAUCCAACUAAGAAAAAAAACAGUUCAGAAGCCAAACACAAAAACCACGCAAAAAGACGCAGCAGGAACCAGCGAACGAAACAACACCCCUAGCUGGCCUGCCCAAGUCACCUUGCUUGUGACUGUCUUCGCAUCCAUUUGACGUGUGUGCGUAUUUGCCGGAGACCUCCUAUUCCCUGACCUACGCGGGGAAAAGUGAGGAAACAUGCACCUAAACCUGUGGGUACCCCGACCCGAGCCUGGCCCGAAAAAUCCAGGCCACGCUGGGGCCUUGUUUUGCAGCCCAAUGUACAUUUCACCUAGGCUCGGGCUUUUGUAACAAUACUGAGAAAUAGUAUUUGGUUGGGCUUUCAAUAUUCAGGUCGGGCUUACAACUAACAACAUUGAUAAACACCAUUCGAGCUAGACUUUCGGGCUUCGGGCCUAUAUUUGGCUGAGGCUCGAGCUUGAGAAAGUGUGUACUUUCGGGAUUUGGACCAGCUGGGGCUUGAAGUUUGGGUUUCUGGCUUUUUGAAGCCCAGCCCGCCAUAUAAUCAGGUUUAAGUGCACCCCCGCCCCCCACGCGUGCUUUUGGCCGGCCCAUAUGCGGGGUGAGCCGGGCUUAUUAUUAUUAUUUUUGCUUUUGUACUUUCGUUCUUUCUCAAUUGCAAGAAAUGUUCAUAAAAUAAUCAUAUGUUUGCACAUUUCUCAAAGUGCUUCAAAUUUUCAAAAUAUUAUAUGAUUUAAAUUCUUCAUAAAUUGAAAAUUUUCUUGAAUUUCAGAAAAUGUUCAUGAAUUGUAAAAUUGUUCCCCUAGUUCACAAAUUAUUCAUGUAUUUGAAAGUCCAUGGAUUCGAAAAUUGCUCGCGAAUUUGAGAAUGGAAUAAUAGAGUGAGUAUAGCAAUUGAUAUAUAUAUAGAUACUUUGCGAGGUUUAUAUCACUAAAUUUAGAAAUGAUGUCAUUAUCACGACAUGUAUUGGAUGUCCUUUUUUCACUAGUUAAUAUCCAUAAAAUAUCAUGUUAGAUGACCGAUUUUUCAUAAUAUAACAUUUAUUGUGAAUCAAAAACCAAAAAGCAAGAAUCCUGCAAAGAAAAUGUAACACAUAAUCCUAGAGAGCGCCUUACACAUCUCAUUUCUAAGUGUGUUUACUUAUAAUUUGGUAAACAUAAGUCCAAGCAAAUCAAAGAAAAUCAAAGUACAGAGAAUACCUACAUACCAUGGCCCAUUGACCGGUCCACACAAUUGACUGCUUUAAUGUGACCCAUCAAAGACACUGAGAGCUUCAAAGGUGAACUGUUGUUUGAUCCAGGCUUUGGUUGGCACCGUAAAGAAUGCAAAAUAACAGCUCAAAUAUUUGUAUCAGCAAAAGAUCAAACAACUGAAAUAAGAAGCACAAAGCACAUGAGCAAGGAACAUAAAUGUUGUUAAUAAAACAAGAAAAAAACUAAGAUACACUUGUGUCACUCGCAACUCACGAGCAAAAUAACACUACUAGGGACAAAGCAGGGCUUCGAUUUUCUUGCACAACAGCUAACAGUUAGAGCUUUUAAUUCAUGUUUACCCAAUAAUUCUCCACAAUUCCUCACAUAGUUUCUAGUUCAACCAUUACAGGUAUGUAAAUAGACAAGAUUAGAUCGAUACUAAAAUUUGCAUUACGCUAUCGACGAAUGACGGCUCAAUUUUAUCUCCAUAUAGAUGACACAAGAAUCUCACUUGAGCAGUUGGUCACAAUGCAUACUAGCAUACUAAUGUUUCCAAUCGAACCGCAGCCAGAAACUUAGAACGACUUAUCCAACUUCUACCACCAAAUCAAAUUCAUAAUAUGAUGUUGCCUCCACCUUCCACGAUCCCGGUAGGUACAUCCAUGCACUUUCCACAUGCGAGAUGCGAUGAAGAUGUGAGAUGUGGCCAAAGAUUUGGGAUGUUGUAAACAUAUCUACGAGAUAUUUUUUUCUCUAUGUAUACCUAAUAGUUUACUAGAAGCCGCUAUCAGGAUAUUUCUGACUUUUAAAGACACACACACACACAGAGAGAGAUAUACGUAUAUACCAUGGUCAUGUGAGUGUCACAAAUUAAUCCAUGAAACAUGCAAUUUUAUGUAGUCUAUUUUCUUAUGGUUAGAGGGGUUAAGUUUAAGUAUUAUUUUAUGGUGCAAUCUAUUGAAUAGAAAGAAACUAAUCAAAUUUAGCGUAGGGCAUGCACAUAUUUUAAUGACACACAUUACAACCUAGCAGAAAAUACUAUUAUUUAUAUUGAGCAUAAUUAUCGUAAGUAAAUAUAAAAAAGAAGUAACCGCUCGCAGUUAAUAGUGAGUUUUAAACAUGUAUAAAAGUUUAAUACAAAUAUUCAAUUUAAUUAGACUCGAUUUCUUGUCACCGCCCUAGAUUCAUGUUUGUAAUAAGUGGCAUUGCAUCCAUGCAUCAUGUCUAAUUUUAUCUGAAAUUUGAAUGAGGGAAUGUUCAAAACCUCAGAAACAUUUUAAAAAUUAUCAACACUAAAACCUUCUCAAAUAAGUCCAAGAAAAUGUUCCUGUUAUUUUAUGAAAAUAUUGGAAAGAGGUAAAAUUAAAACCAGUAUUUUUGGAUUGUCAGAAAUAUUUGUUUUGGGAAUUUGAGUUAAUCUAAUAAUUAUUUGCAUUAGACUUAUAUUUAUUAUAUUAAAUAUUGGUUCAAAAAUUUUGAAAGUUUGUAUGUGGCUCUGGACUCGUUCCCUAAGUCCACAUAUUGAAUUUCAGAAGUUUAUAAAGUGAUUUGGUAGUUAAACCAAAUCAAACAAACAGAACAAAAUAGAAAACAAAAACAGAAAGGGAAGAAGAGAGAGAGAGAGAAUUUACCUGGCAGCCCACUUACCCGGCCCAACUCCUCUAGCCGGCACAGCCUACCUGGCUCUGCCAGUCGUCCUCUACCUCGUGCCAGAGGGCACGAGGGCGUGUGGCCGCCGCCCACGCGUACGCACCGCGCCACCUCCUGCUUGCCGCUUCGCUCUGGCCCUCUCUGGACGUCGACACGUAGCCCCCUGGCCCUCUCCCUCGCUCCCCUCGUCCUUCCCCUCCUCUGGAUCCCUCUCUCUCUCUCACCACCGAGCGGGGCUCGUCGCCACCGACGCCGUUCACCGUAGCCACCGCCUCCUCCUGAACCUCUCUCCGCGCCCAGAAGCUCCGCCACUUCGUCCUCGACCCCCUCGCUGAGCCACGCAACGCCGGACGCCCUGAAGCCUCGCCAACACCGUCAUUCCCAUCGUCGGUCGCCGCGGAUCCUCGUCGUUGAUUCAGGAACUACAGGACCUCCCCGAGCACUCUGAGCUUCUCUACAAGUCCUCCGUGAGCCCCUCUUUCCCCUACCCUAACCUCGUUGCUUCGCUCGACCUCUAGCUAGCGCUGCCGCCAUGGCCGAGCUCCGCCGCCGCCUGCCUUGUCAUGCGCCACCAUUGCAGCCCGCGCCCGUCGUUGGAGAGCAUGGCAACGAGCUCGUCGUGCCUCCAGGAGGCCGGCUAUCCCUUUUGCUAGCUCGCCCGUGCCCCGUAGCACCGCUGCCCGCUUGCGCCCGAACUCCGGCCGCCGCCCAAGUGGUCGCCGCCGUCGACCCCGGCCUCCCUGCGCCCAGCUGCAUGCACCCCUGGAUGCGGGCGAGCGAGGGCUUCCUCAUGGUGCCCUGCUACCUCUUGAGCAUUGCGUUGGUUUUCCCUAGAAGAGGAAAGGGUGAUGCAGCAAAGUAGCGUAAGUAUUUCCCCUCAGUUUUUGAGAACCAAGGUAUCAAUCCAGUAGGAGGCUACACACGAGUCCCUCGCACCUACACAAACGAAUAAAUCCUCGCAACCAACAUGAUAAGGGGUUGUCAAUCCCUACACGGUCACUUACGAGAGUGAGAUCUGAUAGAUAUGAUAAGAUAAUAUUUUUGGUAUUUUUGUGAUAAAGAUGCAAAGUAAAGAAAGUAAAAUAAAAACGGCGCUAGAAAUAGCUAAGUGUUGGAAGAUUAAUAUGAUGGAAAAUAGACCCGGGGGCCAUAGGUUUCACUAGUGGCUUCUCUCGAGAGCAUAAGUAUUUACGGUGGGUGAACAAAUUACUAUUGAGCAAUUGACAGAAUUGAGCAUAGUUAUGAGAAUAUCUAGGCAUGAUCAUGUAUAUAGGCAUGACGUCCGAAACAAGUAGACCGACUCCUGCCUGCAUCUACUACUAUUACUCCACACAUCGACCGCUAUCCAGCAUGCGUCUAGAGUAUUAAGUUCAUAAGAACAGAGUAACGCUUUAAGCAAGAUGACAUGAUGUAGAGGGAUAAACUCAUGCAAUAUGAUAUAAACCCCAUCUUCUUAUCCUCGAUGGCAACAAUACAUUACGUGCCUUGCUGCCCCCACUGUCACUGGAAAAGGACACCGCAAGAUUGAACCCAAAGCUAAGCACUUCUCCCAUUGCAAGAAAGAUCAAUCUAGUAGGCCAACCCAAACUGAUAAUUCGAAGAGACUUGCAAAGAUAACCAAUCAUACAUAAAAGAAUUCAGAAGAUUCAAAUAUUGUUCAUAGAUAAGCUUGAUCAUAAACCCACAAUUCAUCGGUCUCCACAAACACAUCACAAAAGAAGAUUACAUCGAAUAGAUCUCCACAAGAGAGGGGGAGAACAUUGUAUUGAGAUCGAAAAAGAGAGAAGAAGCCAUCUAGCUAAUAACUAUGGACCCGAAGGUCUGAGGUAAACUACUCACACUUCAUCGGAGAGCCUAUGGUGUUGAUGUAGAAGCCCUCCGUGAUCGAUGCCCCCUCCGGCGGAGCUCCGAAACAGGCCCCAAGAUGGGAUCUCACGAAUACAGAAGGUUGCGGCGGUGGAAUUAGGUUUUUAGCUGCAUAUCUGAUCGUUUGGGGGUACGUAGGUAUAUAUAGGAGGAAGGAGUAUGUCGGUGGAGCAACGUGGGGCCCACGAGGGUGGAGGGCGCGCCCAGGGGGUAGGAGCGCCCCCUACCUCGUGGCUUCCUGGUAGCUUUCUUGACGUAGGGUCCAAGUCAUCUGGAUCAUGUUUGUUCCGAAAAUCACGUUUCUGAAGGUUUCAUUCCGUUUGGACUCCGUUUGAUAUCCUGCGAAACUCUGAAAUAAGCAAAAAACAGCAAUUCUGGGCUGGGCCUCCGGUUAAUAGGUUAGUCCCAAAAAUAAUAUAAAAGUGCAUAAUAAAGCCCAAUAAUGUCCAAAACAGAAGAUAAUAUAGCAUGGAGCAAUCAAAAAUUAUAGAUACGUUGGAGACGUAUCAAGCAUCCCCAAGCUUAAUUCCUGCUCGUCCUCGAGUAGGUAAAUGAUAAAAACAGAAUUUUUGGUGUGGAAUGCUACUUGGCAUAAUUUCAAUGUAAUUUUUAUUAAUUGUGGUAUGAAUAUUCAGAUCCGAAAGAUUCAAGAUAAAAGUUCAAUAUUGACAUAAAAAUAAUAAUACUUCAAGCAUACUAACUAAGCAAUUAUGUCCGCGGCAUCGCUGGAGUGCGCGUCCAUGACCCUGUGCGGGCCGAUCAAGGAGCACGUCAUCAAGCACUUCCACCACAAGAAGCCCGUGCCGCCCAAGCCGGAGCUCAAGCCACAGCCCCACCCGGACUACGGCCCCAUGCCUAAGCCGGAGCCGAAGCCGCAGCCCCACCCGGACUACCACCCCGUCCCUCCCACGCCCACCUACGGUAGCGGUGGCGGCGCUGGUGGAUACCACGGGCANNNNNNNNNNNNNNNNNNNNNNNNNNNNNNNNNNNNNNNNNNNNNNNNNNNNNNNNNNNNNNNNNNNNNNNNNNNNNNNNNNNNNUGAUGAAAUCUCAUCAUCAGCGGGUUGGUGAUCAGUGAGUGGUGGACGGUGCUAAUUAUGAUUGGUUUGCAUGCGUGGGUAUCGUUAGGUCUUCUGCCAUUCCCGCGAAGCCCCGUUUAUUAUCUGCACUGCAGAGUUGGGAGUUCAGAAUAACAGAUGUGCGUGUGUGUCGCUGUGUCAGGCGAGUGUGAGGGUGUGUUGGUGUGUUGCUUUAUCAAGAUUUUGUAAUUUCAGUGUGUGUUUUGUAUAAGAAGUUAUUAUGAAUCAAGUAAUUUAACCAAGUCGAUUUGUCAGCCGAACAACUGCAGCUGUUCGAGACGAUUGGCAUGAUAAAGAUAGUGUGAUUUUACUUCAACUCAAUUUUCAGAUCCGUGAACUGAAACUGAAGUGAAAUUCAGGCGUGUGCAAUGCAUUCAUACUGCUGGUCAUAGUUUUUUCUCUUACGAUGAACAAGUCGAUUUAUGAACAUUUUUUCUAGAUAAGUGAGGCUUUUAAAAAAUGUUCAUCAUGUGUUCAAAACAAUGAUAACCGUAAAUUUAAAGCAAAAUUGUUCGCCGUGUAUCUUAAAAAUGUUCAUCGUGAAUUUAAAAGGUUUGCCACUAAUUUUAAAAAGUUCAUCAUGUAUUUAUAUCACUAAUUUAGUUAUCUAAACGCUCUUAUAUUAGUUUACAGAGGGAGUAUUUAAAAGUUGUCAUCACGUAAUUAAAAAAAGGUUAAUUGUGCAUUAAUGAAAAUUUUCACCAUGUUUCAGAAAUGUUCAUCAUGUAUUAAUAAACUUAACCAUGUAUUUUUAAAAGUAAAAAAAUGCUCAUUGUGUAUUUAAAACAUAUAAAGAUAAUUUUUUGUAAAUGAACUAAAAAUAUUCAUUGUGUAUUAAAAAAGUGUUCACCAUGAAUUGUUCAAAAAAAUCACCUUGUAUUAUUCAAAAACGCUCAGACACAAAGGACAAAUGUUCAUACACGGUGUUGGGAAAAGGAGAAAAUGCAUAGAGUAAAAGCACAACAAAAGAGGAAAAAUGGACAAUGAAAACAAAAGGGGAAAGAAUGAAGAAUCCAACUAAGAAAAAAAACA